ACGUAGGUGGCAAGCGUUGUCCGGAAUUAUUGGGCGUAAAGGGCGCGCAGGCGGCGUCGUAAGUCGGUCUUAAAAGUGCGGGGCUUAACCCCGUGAGGGGACCGAAACUGCGAUGCUAGAGUAUCGGAGAGGAAAGCGGAAUUCCUAGUGUAGCGGUGAAAUGCGUAGAUAUUAGGAGGAACACCAGUGGCGAAAGCGGCUUUCUGGACGACAACUGACGCUGAGACGCGAAAGCCAGGGGAGCAAACGG
rnacentral:rRNA from 1 species